GGUUUUUUUAUCUUGUUCUGGAUAAUGAAAACUUGUUGCUUCGAGGGGUCUUUUAUCAUUUGGUAUUCCUCUUCCCGGAAAAUGCUGUUGCUUAACAAUUGGGUCCCCUGCGGCUCCCCGACUCUUCCUCUCCUGCGGCCCUCUCUCUCGCAUGCUAACCUAAUCCACCGUUACCGCCCGCCUCUUCCUUUGAAGAAGAGGUGCGUACGAGGAGUUCUCUCGUGCUCCCUUCGCCAGUUCGCAAGAUCGAUGGAGGGCGAACGGCGACCCACAACGGGAGAGGAAAGGGAGGAGGGUGUCCCCUCGAUGAAGCUCCUAUUCGUCGAGAUGGGCGUCGGCUAUGAUCAGCAUGGGCAAGAUAUAACCACCGCUGCGAUGCGCGCUUGCCGCGACGCCAUCUCUUCCAACUCCAUCCCUGCUUUUCGACGAGGGUCGAUUCCUGGUGUUAAUUCGGAUCACAUGAAGCUUGUAAUCAAGCUAGGAGUCCCUCGGUCUACCCAGCAUCUGCUCGAUAUUGAGAUGGUUAAAUCUGUCUUUCCUUAUGGCGAAAUUAUUAAGGUGGAGGUUGUCGAUGGAGGGAUGAUAUGCUCAAGUGGUGUUUAUCUUGAAGCGAUGGGAGACAAAAAUGAUGAUUGCUACAUAGUGAAUGCUGCGAUAUAUGUUGGCUACUGAUGCCUUUAGUGCUGCAUAUAGGAUCUGAUUCCAAGUAUCUGGAAGGCCGGAAACGCACCAGUGGCUGCAAUCCAUGCCUGCGUGAUCUCCACUGUAUGCAGAUGGAUGUGCGUCUUUUCUGAGUUGGGAGAGCAAGGUUAUGUCAAGCAGAUAAACUGGCUUUGUCAUGGUACUAAGAACACUCUUCACGAUGCCUUGAGCUGGAACUGGACCACCAGGGUAAUGGGUUGGGGAUAUCCCUUGGAAGAAGACUUUGGUUGUGGCAGGAUUGACGUUGGAAUCCACCCAUUUGGCCCAAGUAGUUAGCCCCUUGUUGAAGGCCAGCAACCUAUCCAUGUCUCGGUAAACCUGGACUCCGUCCUGUACAUAGUCCCAUCUGCACCACAAGAUUGCUGUUGUUAGACUGACAUGGUAGAUGAAAUAACAGCUUUUCCAAAGAAUAAUGCAGGGUUCUGAGUUAGGGCAUCUCUCACACGGUUGGCUGUUUCCUCUGUGAGUCCACCAAUGCCAGGUAUUGAAGAUUAACACGUCGGCGCCCAGCCACACCGAGCCAGAUUGGAUGGAAUCGAGCUUCAGGACGCGGCCGAUGGGUUCGUUCACUAUGUCCACCAGGUAUGUGGUAUGGUAGUACACUACCGACACUCCAUAAUCCUGCAGUAGCGCCUGUUGUUAGCUGUAGUUUCAUUUAAUUCUUUUCCAUGCUUUCGCUGUUGCACUCAUGUGCUUUCAUAGUUAAAAUCUCUACAUGACUGGA